CUAGCUGUGGCCUCCUGAUACCUCUCUUGUAUGUACCAUCUGUUGAAUCCUCCCACUCUCGAUUCCGAGCCAGUUCUGCUGCAAAAAAAAAAGGUAAGAAGAUAACCCAUCGGACCCAACUGGUUGAGAUGUAUGGGGAUGUCGGAACUGAAUAAAGUCCGAAUAUUGACCCAAAUACUGAAUAUCGAUAAAUAAAUUGAAUUGCUUAUUAUCCCUCCGAUAUUUACAUGAUAAAAUGGCAGUAUUUAUAAGGAAGGGAAUGCGCGAUUAUACAAACGGGGCAGUGCUGAGAUACAGCGGGGCAUUGCUCGGAUUCAUGAGUAAUACGAUAUAUGAUAUAUCAUCGGAUAAGAUAUGUGAUAUAUCAUCGGAUAUCAUCCCCGACAGGGGAUCUCGGUAAUGUCGACCCUCAGCUUGUUGUCGCCCUUGAGAAAAAAAAGCAUGCUGAGGAUCCGGGCUACCGUGAGCCUGUGAUAGCAGAGUUGACAACAACUGAUCC
rnacentral:sRNA from 1 species